rnacentral:rRNA from 1 species
GACGAACGCUGGCGGCGUGCUUAACACAUGCAAGUCGAACGGAAAGGCCCUGCUUUUGUGGGGUGCUCGAGUGGCGAACGGGUGAGUAACACGUGAGUAACCUGCCCUUGACUUUGGGAUAACUUCAGGAAACUGGGGCUAAUACCGGAUAGGAGCUCCUGCUGCAUGGUGGGGGUUGGAACGUUUCGGCGGUUGGGGAUGGACUCGCGGCUUAUCAGCUUGUUGGUGGGGUAGUGGCUUACCAAGGCUUUGACGGGUAGCCGGCCUGAGAGGGUGACCGGCCACAUGGGGACUGAGAUACGGCCCAGACUCCUACGGGAGGCAGCAGUGGGGAAUAUUGCACAAUGGGCGGAAGCCUGAUGCAGCAACGCCGCGUGCGGGAUGACGGCCUUCGGGUUGUAAACCGCUUUCGCCUGUGACGAAGCGUGAGUGACGGUAAUGGGUAAAGAAGCACCGGCUAACUACGUG